CUCAAAGCAGGAGGAGCAGAUGUCUGCGGCGUCCGCUGAUGGCUGCAGCCUUAGGAGAUGAGUUUUGGACUCCCCAUCAAAGUCAGGAUUAGGCUCAGGAUCCUCCAGCAGCGCCGAGCCCGCCGGGGGAAUGCAGAGGAAGAGGAAACCAUUCACAGCGACUCAUCGUGUGGUUGGGUGAUUCAGGGGUCUGCUGGUGAUGGUCACAGAGGCACGUGGCUUGCUGCACCGUCUUUGUCUGCUGUGCAGGAUGCAAACGGUCUCCAAACAUUAAUUCUGCCCUUUUGAUUUUUGUCCGGUGAAUUAUUUCCAGAAAGGAGUUACUGUAUUUUCUGGAAUGAGUGUUGUGAAAUUCUUUUCUUUACAGUGGGCGAGUUUUCAGCUGGUGAUUUAUCAACCAAGUAUUUUACGGGAUCGCAGUUAAAGGCUCUUCUAUAAAAAAUACCCGGUGUGAUAGGGAAAGUAAAAGUGUCUUGGUUUCCAAAUGAUGGAGAAAUAACCGAAAGAGCGAGUUCUUGGAAUAGUAGCUCCAUUGGCACUCAUUGGUGAUUUCCUGCGCAUUUGCUGAAAGAAGCACUUGGUGAUAGCGCAUGAGAGGCACAGGCAGGAUAUUCUGCGUUGGUGUGGAGGAGGAUGGAGCGGGAGCAGGUCUGGCGUUCGGUGACGCUCCCUUCCUCGUGCCACCGCGUGGUGCCAUGGACAGCGAGGACGUGGGCUGCAGGAGCUGGCGGCAGCACGCAAGGUGCACGCGGGGCACUUCCCUGCCUGUGGCUCAAUCUGAAAACGUAAGUAAUUGCUCGUGGCUUCUCCCAGACGUGAGAGACAAAAUGGAGCUGUGUCAGGAUGAACGUCUGCACCAGGGCAAGCUGG
rnacentral:lncRNA from 1 species